AUGACGGGGAGCGCUAGUUCUUUUUAUUGGAAAAUUGAAUUACAAAUGGAGACAUGGGCCUGGAUCGCUCCUGUAGCAUCUGUCUUCAUGACCUUGCCUGCUGGCAGAGCAAAUAAAUCUGCGUAUACUGAUUCAUAUAUAUACUAUGAUACUACAGUAAUUUCACUUCCAAGAGGAAAUCUGCUGUGCCUCACCAGUUUGACCUGCCUCUCUUCCAAGCCCCUGGUGAAUGCCAAACAUUUUAUUGUCUCUAUGCUAUUUCACUUUCCAGAGUGUCACAAAACUAGAAUUACACACAGUAUUUCGCAUUUUUGUAUUUUGCUUUUUUUUUCGCAACAUGUCCUUUAGAUUUGUAAAGUGUAUCUAUCUCAUGGUUGUUUAGAUUUGCAUUUUCCUAAUGCAAAAGACUUAGGCCUCACAUCAUGUGGUAAUUAGACAUGACAGUAGUAUCUUCAGAGAAAUAUCUAUUCAAAUAAUUUACCAAUUUGAUUGUGAUAUUUAUCUUAGUAUUUUUUAGCUGUAAAAUACUUUUAUAUUUUGUGGAUAAUCGACCCUUUUCUGCUGUGACUGCAAAGGUUUUCUUCUAUACAUUGUUUUAUCUUUUUACUUUUAGUGAAGUACUCUGAAUUCCAAACGAUUUGAAUUCUAUGAAGUUAAAUAUAUUCAUAUUUUUGUUUGUUUCUUUGUCUGUUUUGAGACGGUCUCACUUUGUCACCCAGGAUGGAGUGCAGUGGUGUGAUUUUGGCUCACUGCAACCUUUGCCUCCUGGAUUCAGGUGAUUCUCCUGCCUCAGCCCAGUGAGUUGCUGGGAUUACAGGCGCCCACCACCACACCUGGCUAGUUUUUGUAUUCUUAGUAGAGAUGGGGUUUCACCAUGUAGGCCAGGCUGUUCUCAAACUUCUGACCUCAGAUGAUCCACCUGCCUCGGCCUCCCAGUGUUCUGGGAUUACAGGCGUGCGCCACCAUGUCCGGCCCAUGUUUAUUACUUAACUAUUCUUGGACUUUAGCUGUCAUGUCUUAGAAGUGCAGAAAUUAUUGUUUCACUUAAGACAACAAAUAUGUAUUCACAUAUUAUCUUCUGUGGGUUUGUUCUGUUUAGCUCCUAUAUUUGGAUAUAUGAUCAUUUUGAUUCCAGUAGGUAUAUGGUAUGUGAGAGACGUUCAGCUUGAUUGUCGGUACUCAGUUGUCCUAGCGACAUUUGAUGGAAACCUGUUUUCCAUAUUGAAUUGAGUUAGCAAUCUUGUAAUAUCAUUUGACCACAAAAGAAAAGGUUAAUUUUUGGAAUUCAGUUCUUUUUGUUGUUGUUGUUGGUAAGUCUGUGUUUAUACUAGUAACACAAAUCUUGAUU
rnacentral:lncRNA from 13 species